UGCUUGUCUCAAAGAUUAAGCCAUGCAAGUCUAAGUUUAAGCACCUAAACGGCGAAACUGCGAAUGGCUCAUUAAAUCAGUUAUCGUAUAUUUGAUAGUACCUACUACAUGGAUAACCGUGGUAAUUCUAGAGCUAAUACAUGCUUAAAAUCCCGACUUCGGAAGGGAUGUAUUUAUUAGAUUAAAAACCAAUGCCCUUCGGGGCUCACUGGUGAUUCAUAAUAACUUCUCGAAUCGCAUGGCCUUGCGCCGGCGAUGGUUCAUUCAAAUUUCUGCCCUAUCAACUUUCGACGGCUGGGUCUUGGCCAGCCGUGGUUACAACGGGUAACGGAGGGUUAGGGCUUGACCCCGGAGAAGGAGCCUGAGAAACGGCUACUACAUCCAAGGAAGGCAGCAGGCGCGCAAAUUACCCAAUCCCGACUCGGGGAGGUAGUGACAAUAAAUACUGAUACAGGGCUCUUUUGGGUCUUGUAAUUGGAAUGAGUACAAUUUAAAUCCCUUAACGAGGAACAAUUGGAGGGCAAGUCUGGUGCCAGCAGCCGCGGUAAUUCCAGCUCCAAUAGCGUAUAUUAAAGUUGUUGCAGUUAAAAAGCUCGUAGUUGAACCUUGGGCCUGGCUGGCCGGUCUGCCUCACCGCAUGCACUGGUCCGGCCGGGCCUUUCCCUCUGGGGAGCCGCAUGCCCUUCACUGGGUGUGUCGGGGAACCAGGACUUUUACUGUGAAAAAAUUAGAGUGUUCAAAGCAGGCAUAUGCUCGAAUACAUUAGCAUGGAAUAAUAGAAUAGGACGUCGCGGUUCUAUUUUGUUGGUUUCUAGGACCGCCGUAAUGAUUAAUAGGGACAGUCGGGGGCAUCAGUAUUCAAUCGUCAGAGGUGAAAUUCUUGGAUCGAUUGAAGACUAACUACUGCGAAAGCAUUUGCCAAGGAUGUUUUCAUUAAUCAGGAACGAAAGUUAGGGGAUCGAAAACGAUCAGAUACCGUUGUAGUCUUAACCAUAAACUAUGCCGACUAGGGAUCGGGCGGUGUUAUUCUUGACCCGCUCGGCACCUUACACGAAAGUAAAGU
rnacentral:rRNA from 1 species